AGAAUCGCAGCGCCGUGAGGGCUCGGCGCAAAUCCAUCUUACUCUCAAUAGCUAAGUGACAUGAAAGCCAUAAAAGAAAAAGUGGUCAGCAAUAUUUAGCAGCACGACUUGGCCCCGGGCGCAGAGAGCCACGCUAUAAAAAGCCGCUGGAAUUUACUGGCAGCUACAAAUAUUUGCUUAACUUGUGCCUGGAGUUGGGGGGUUUUCCGGGGAGUGAGGAGGAGAGUGAAAGGUCCUUGGAAGCCGGGUCUCGGGAGCUGGAGUUCAAAAGGAGAAAGGCCUGAUGGACUAGAAAGGAACAGGGUCGGGAUCCUUCUUUUCCAGGGAAGAAGAAACGGGGUGUCUCUUCGUCACGGCUCCUUGGAUUUCUCCCCUCUGGGGAUCAUGGGCAAGGGGCGAGGGGGUAGAGGUGAGAUUGGGUCACCAAUUUUUCCUCCAAUUCUCUCUUUAGAACUGAUACUUGCCAAAAGAAUCAUGAUGUGUGGUGACUUCCCAUCCAGGCCCUUCUUGGACCGUCCAGCACCCUAGAGAGGCAGGUCCCAGCAGGUCACUCCCAGCUCUUUUCCCUUGCUACAGAAGGUCCCCAGACCUUCCUGCCUUGGACUUUCCGAGGUGCUGUUAUUCAGGGCAACUAUCAAAUUCUACCUGUUAAAACAUGAUGGAUUAGAGAAAAAAAAAUCCACCAAGAACCUGAAAAACCAGCGUUCAUCUCCAUGACCACGGCUUGAACUCCCCUUCCAACUUAACGAUAAUAGAUUCUGUCCUAGAAACUGCUAUGUAAUUUGAUGUAUGGGGGUCAUUUAACUCCGGACGAGGGAUGGAAGCACAAGCCAUAAAAUGCCACCAGGGUUCCCUGAUCUUUGUGUGCUGUUGUUGUUAAUAUUCCUUGGCCUUUUUACCUGCUUUAGAAACACCAAGUAAAGGGCAAACCUGGAAAUCUAAAAAGCAAUUGAAAGCCUUCUCGACCCCUUUUUAUUUAGGAAGUGGACUACAAAAGUGAAAUCUAUGUUUUAUUUUUGUUCUCACCUUUUCUUGGUUAACCUCUGGUUCUCAGCUCAGAAAACUUCCAUGUGAGUUCAUAUAGUUCCCUCCAAAUCAGAAUUUUAGUCUCCCUGGCCAUUUAAGAAAAUCACAAAUUUUCUUUAUGACAAAUUCAUGAAGAAAAUUGUUUACACUUCUAUGUUUCAACUAUGUGUAUUUGAGUCCUGGAGUUAUUCAAGUCUUCCAGGAAUAGCAGACACUUUGUUAACCAAAAAAAUUAAUGUAAUAAGCAUCUACCAGUAGAUGAUUAUAAUUUUGUUUUUAAUAAUGGACUCCUUUAUAUUUCAUUAUUAAACCAACAAUCUGCCCAACAUCUGGAAAACAGGCACAAUUAAUUUUCCAGAACCUCAAUUAAAAAUUACAGCAACCCUUAUCCAGAGUUAUUGUAUGUGAUCUUGAGCCCUGGAGUAUUGUUUCUCUUUUGGAAAUAGAUAGGAAGCUACAGAUACCAUGGUUAAAAGUAAAUAAAUGAUAAAAUAAAAUUUAAAACAGAAUAGCAA